GACGCUCUUUUAUCUAUUUGAAAAAAACCGAAUGAUCUAAAUCAACUUGUUAGCUAAAUAUUUUUAAAGCUAAUAACAAUUUAUUUGUUCUUUGCAAAGAUAUUUUAUCAACUUCAAGAGUUCCCCCACAUGGUAUCCUCAAGAUAACAGUAAACAGGUAACGGUCAUGCGUAGUCGAUCCUUGAUCUCUAUUGUUGGCAGACGACAGGAAACGUAGCAGACAUGAUGAUGGAUACAGAAUACAGAAUACAGAUGAUGGAGAAAAUGCAGAAAAAGAUUUCUAGGUCAACUGAUAAUGCUUUGAGGACCAGUUUAUUGGGAGAAAACAUGAAUGAUUCAAGAAGUUUAAAAGUUGUGAACCAAGUAGUGGAACUGUUGGAAAAGAGUGUAAAGAUCCAGAGAAGGUUCCAAUUCAUGAUAAGAACUUAAAAUACUAAAUGACUUAAAAAGUAAACUUACAAUGUAGGUUAGUUCCCCGUUGUUUAUGGCACAGCGGAGGAGGAUUCCUGCCUCGAAGGCAUUGGUUGGAAAUAUGUUGCCCAUUUGUUCAUGGGAUGUGGAUACCAUUCCAAAGUCUUCUAAAUAUAUGGACAGUUCAUCUCUAAAAAAGAAAAUCUUAAAAGACAUGAAAGGGUUUGACUUGAGGUUUAAUGUAUUAAUUACCUUAUGAAGGAUGCUCCAAUGACUAACCCUUCCACUGUUUCUUGGAAUUCUGUGUCAUUCUGCAAUAUAAUUGAAUUUAAAUUGGCUUAUAAAAAAACAAUGGUAUGGAGAUCAUGAAAGAAAAUCAAGCUCACCAUUAUGCUGGUGUCGGCCAUGGAGUUCAGGAAGGUCGACCCCCUGAACUCCAUGACCUUAAGAUUUUUGACCACAAUCUUGUCUCCAACGGAGAACCCGUUAGUCAUGGAGGCCUUCUCCCUCCACAACUUAACCUUGAGGGAGCGAGGCCUCAUUAGGGGGUUUGUCAGCCUCAACCCCCUGUAGGGGUUUUCUGCAUCCUCUGCAGGUUCCAGCUCCAAUGGAAUCUAUUAUACAAUAAAUAAACAAUAUAUCCUUUGAUGCAGAUUGUUGAUGGAGUUUAUGGCUACCACCGGAGGAUUUUUGAAUAUAUCUAUAGCCUCCUGGAAACUGGUGAGGGGGAAUGGAGCUGAUUCGAAGCACUAAAUAAAAACAAUGCCUUUUCAUAAGAUGUAAUGUAAAUAAUUUUUAAUUUUUAUUUUAUGCAAGUAUUUAUUUUAACAUAUAUGUGCAGGAAAGCAUUGUUAUUAUCUUUUAUGUUUUUUUUCCCAAAUUGUAUGAAUACACAUAUGCCAUUUAUUUUAAAAUUAUUUCAAUGCAGGAAAAGGAUUUCCUCCUUUAAUGUUUAAUUUUAUUUCUUGAUGAAGGUAAAGGAACGCCUGUUAUUUUAACCUGAAAAAAUUCACUGUUUUGGACUAGCUCAAUUGUUCGUUUCAGAAAAAAAAUCAUGAACACUUAGAUUUAUUUUUAUAUUAUGUAAAAUAAGUUUUAUUUUAAGAUAUAUGUUCUUUUUUUUAAUUGUAUAUACAUGCAUUUGACACUAAUGUAAGUUAUUUUUAUGCUUUAUUUCAUUUUAUUUCUUCAUGAAGGUAAAGAAAUGUCAUUAUUUUAAUAUUUAAUUCAUAUACUAACCAGGGCAUGAGAAGGUAACGACAUCUUCUCGUCGUAGACCCUGUACUUCUUCAGCAACUUGUAUUCCCCCAAGUUUAUGGUGAACUUAUUAUCGUACUGUAGCUCUGUUAUUUUCCCCCCUUCAGUUAUUAUAUAGUUGACUUUGUAGGAGCCCCUUGGCUCCUCUUCCAGGAGUGCAUGGACUUUCAUAACAUCAAGGUCCUGAAACAUUGAAAGACAUAAAUGUAAUUGUUCAUUAAUUUUAAAAGUGCCAGCUGAAGUUUGGAAAAAUUUCUUUUUAACUUUUAAGGUGCAAACAGAAGUUUGCCUAUAUAUUUUUAUUUUUAUACGUCUGCAAAAGCAAAAAUUGAAAUGGUUUUGGUCGUAUAUUGGUAUCACGAUGUCGUUGUUGCGUUUGUUUUCAAAUUUGGUUUUUGCACUCCAACUUUAGUAAAAGUCGAUAGAAAUUUAUGAAAUUUAAACAAAGUUUAUGACCAGAAAAGGAAGGUUGGGGUUGAUUUUGGGUGUUUUGGUAUAUAUCUGUGCCCUACGGAGCAUUGUUUUUUUUACUUUUAUAUAUUUUUUUGAUUUUAACAGAAAUUGAGGUAUUUAAUUUUUUACUCUCGUUUGAAAUUGUGUUUUUAAGCAACUCUUUUUUUUCAAUUGUCAUUAUGAAUACUGUUUUGCUUUUACAUUUGUAAAUAACAUUUACAUAAACAUGCAAUGAAUGAUG